GAUGAACGCUAGCGGCAGGCUUAACACAUGCAAGUCGAGGGGUAAAUAUAGCAAUAUAUGAGACCGGCAAACGGGUGCGGAACACGUACUGAACCUACCUUUAUCUGGGGCAUAGCCCGGAGAAAUCCGGAUUAACUCCCCAUAGUAUCAUUGGAUGGCAUCAUUUGGUGAUUAAAAAAUUUAUUGGAUAAAGAUGGCAGUGCGUCCCAUUAGCUAGUUGGUAGGGUAACGGCCUACCAAGGCGACGAUGGGUAGCUGGUGUGAGAGCACGACCAGCCACACGGGCACUGAGACACGGGCCCGACUCCUACGGGAGGCAGCAGUGAGGAAUAUUGGUCAAUGGACGCAAGUCUGAACCAGCCAUGCCGCGUGAAGGAUGAAGGCCUUCUGGGUUGUAAACUUCUUUUAUGUGGGAAUAAAACCGGUAUUAUACUGGCUUGAAGGUACCAGAGGAAUAAGCACCGGCUAACUCCGUGCCAGCAGCCGCGUAAU
rnacentral:rRNA from 1 species